AUUGAACGCUGGCGGCAGGCUUAACACAUGCAAGUCGAGCGAGCGGCGGACGGGUGAGUAAUGUCUGGGCACCUGCCUGAUGGAGGGGGAUAACUACUGGAAACGGUAGCUAAAACCGCAUACCAUCAGAUGUUCCCCGAGUGGAUUAGCUAGUGGGUGGGGUAAAGGCUCACCUAGGCUACGAUCCCUAGCUGGUCUGAGAGGAUGACCAGCCACACUGUAACUGAGACACGGUCCAGACUCCUACGGGAGGCAGCAGUGGGGAAUAUUGCACAAUGGGCGCAAGCCUGAUGCAGCCAUGCCGCGUGUGUGAAGAAGGCCUUCGGGUUGUAAAGCACUUUCAGCGAGGAGGCGUUACUCGCAGAAGAAGCACCGGCUAACUCCGUGCCAGCAGCCGCGGUAAUUC
rnacentral:rRNA from 1 species